AACGAACGCUGGCGGCAUGCCUAACACAUGCAAGUCGAACGAGACCUUCGGGUCUAGGGGCGCACGGGUGCGUAACGCGUGGGAACCUGCCCUUAGGUUCGGAAUAACUCCCCGUAAGGGGUGCUAAUACCGGAUAAUGUCUUCGGACCAAAGAUUUAUCGCCUGUGGAUGGGCCCGCGUUGGAUUAGCUAGUUGGUAGGGUAAAAGCCUACCAAGGCGACGAUCCAUAGCUGGUCUGAGAGGAUGAUCAGCCACACUGGGACUGAGACACGGCCCACACUCCUACGGGAGGCAGCAGUGGGGAAUAUUGGACAAUGGGCGCAAGCCUGAUCCAGCAAUGCCGCGUGAGUGAUGCAGGCCUUAGGGUUGUAAAGCUCUUUUACCCGGGAUGAUAAUGACAGUACCGGGAGAAUAAGCCCCGGCUAACUCCGUG
rnacentral:rRNA from 1 species